GGCGUCUACUGUUCUGUAAUACUUCUUGAUUCCUUGCAUCACACAAGUCAGGAUCUCAGAUGGUUUUUACACAAUUCUGCAUCCAAAGACAUUGUUUUUGCACAGGUAAGAAGACGACCUGGGAAGUGUGUGAUGAGAUGCUAGACGAUGACUAACACUGUUCUAACCCUGGGUGUGGAACCACCAUCCUGCCACCUGAGACGUUACCAGCAUGUAACAAACCUGAACCAACAUGUAAGAAGAUAAAAGAUUGAGAGAGUUCAUCUCAGGGUCUCUGACAUCACUGACAUCAGUACAGAGGUGUUUCUGAGCAGCCCAGCGAUGGCCUCCUUCUCUCACACUGCAGUGUUUUUCUACCUUGAGUGCUCUGCUCCUGAGACUCCAUGGACCAGAGUAAAGAUGUUAUGGAGCGGAAUGAAUGACAGGAAGUUGUUGAAGGUAAAAUAGAAAUGAUUUGGUGAAGAGACACAGCAAGGAUCUGUGCAGCUGAAAAAACAUUCUCCACAGUUUUAGUAAUAAACUGUAAAUCAUCCUGCUGUUCUGGAGAUGUUUGUGUGGAUUAUAAACCACUUCACAAAUGGUUUGUAUUUUAAUCUCUUUGUUGGUUAGUUAUCAAGGCGGAGGUUUAUAUCUGUAUUAUACCCAGCAGGUCCACACCUUCCAAAACAUGACCUUUCAACAAUCAAACAUUUUGUUAUUCAGUGGCCGGAGUAAUAAUAAAUCUGGUCAUUUAUCAACCUCUGAAGCUGAAACCUAUAAAACAUGACCUAUGUGUUUGAAACGCAUUAAACAAACAUCGGCUUAGAGCUUCGAUCAAAGUUGUGGAACAGAGAUUGGAUUCCAACAAAGUUCCUUCAUCCACUGAAACCAUUUUCUAUUCCUGACCUGCUGUGGUUGUUCCUAUCUCCAGUUUCUAAAAACAUCUGGGCAGUGGAACGACCCCCCCACCCCCACCCCCUGCUUCCUGCUCAGUGGCGACGCUACGUCUUACAGACACAACACAAACAAAGCUGACUCCUACACUCCUAACCGUGCGUGUGUGUGUGUGUGUGUGUGUGUGUGUGUGUGUGUGUGUGUGUGUGUGUGUGUGUGUGUGUGUGUGUGUGUGUGUGUGUGUAGGACGCAUGCCACAGCAGACGUAAUGAAGUAGAGAAGUGUGACCGAUAAU